rnacentral:lncRNA from 1 species
CUACCAAUUGCUACAUUAUUCUAGGAGGGUGAGUGCUCUGAAAAAAAGUGAAUACGAGGAAAUAAAAAGGGACAAGUGCCCGAAACCUCGAAGAAAAGAAAAAGUGAGACGAGAGGUAAAAAUGGACAAGUGUCCGACAGUAGAAUUAGGGGUACAAGAUACCCACCUGAGAGAAAAGAAAAAAAGAGAAAAUAUAGAGCAUCUCAUUCCCCUAAAAAAAGCUUCAAAGUGCAAGAAAGGUAUGUAUCCCCUCAAAAGAGCAACAGUAGAAUUAGACUUUCACCAUUAUCACCAUCAUCACCAUACACCAUUCAUGCGCCACACAUGCACAUCUUGAUUUGACUUAUUGACUUGUUUCUUUGGAUCCAUGGUUUGACUAUGCAAUAAAUGACUUGUAAGUAUGUAUUAGCUGUCUCCCACCUAUGAGCUCCAGAUAUCAAAACCUUGUUAGAGUAGGGUG